CAAGAGAAAGCUCGAGGAGGUUGACGCCGGCGCGAAGGUGAACGACGACGUGGAGGAUGCGUGGAAGGCAAUGGCGUGACUUAGUUUCUCCAACACCUUGCCCCUCUCUAUCCACGUGUGUGUUGUAUUGUACCUAGGGUUUAGUGUAUUAAGCAAUGAUUCUAGCGUGUCAAACAUGGUCGGCUUUGUGUUAAGCUUGGAUUGGAAUCCAUCUGAUCCGUUCAUUAUCUCUAUUGGGAUCAGACGUCAUUCAAAACAGUGAGUCCUCUGAGAAGCCUGAGGAGCCAUGACUAAAUUACCGCUACAACAGCAAAAAUUUGCUGCAACCGGUGACUUGCAGGAGACUACCCACGUAAUUGAUGUGCACAAUACAAAGGUAUAACCAGUUGAAUUCUGUUUUUUAUUUGGGUUCUGUUUCAUGUAAUUUUUUUAAGCCAUUGCUCCGUGGGGAACAAAAGAGAAAAAGAGAAAGAAUCAAACACAGAAAAAUAAUAUUUGUGUGUACUGUUGAUUUAGACACAUAAUUUGCAUAUGCUGAUUAUGGCAGUUCAUCCAGGUUGAUGUUCUAAUAUGAAAAGCAGGUGAAACGAUCAGAAACCUGUAAAUGAGCAAAGGCGCGAAAGAUUCAAAUUACAAUGGAUGCAGAUGUUCCUUCAGAUGCCAUUACUCGUCCGAUUGAAUUGUUCGGAACACAUGUGAGUAUUGCCUAGGCUGCAGCGUAGCUUAUUAAGAGUGUUAUAACUGAUGUAUGCUAAAGGUAAUCAACUUUCUCAUGGGUUUGUAGUAGUUCACUUUAGAUGCAUUUCUAUCCAUGUAGUUACAUCUCUAAGGCUCCAUCUAAUACAUCUAUUUGCAGGUUGAAGAUGGUGGUUCCCCUACCUUGAUGGACAAAGGUUUUGGGUCCACACAGUUAGGUUCAGAGCAGUUUCAGAGUGGAGGCUUGUUUCUUCUUCCUCAUCACACAUGUUUUGGGGCUCCCCUAACAUCAACCUCGACCUCAAGCAGUGGUGCCCCUCUCAUGGCCGGUUUAAGCAGCGUUCCAAGGCAGACUGCCAUCAGGAUGGACACCAUGCUUCUGCCCUACAUCCACCGCUGGCAUGUCGUCCCCUGUAGGUUCAAGUAGGGGCGAGAGGGACGACAUGGAGUAGCAGUGUAGCGCUCAUAUAUUGCCUAUGUCUUUCACUUUAUGAUUCCAAAUCAGAUUACCCUGUCAAGGUCAGUACUGCUCCUUUUUGCUGUUUCUUGUUAUCAAUAUUUUUGUGCCACUUCUAAAAUAUCAAAUUACCAAUCCUUCUCCAUACAUGUAGUCUUACAUUUCUAUGUCCUUAAAUAUUUGUUAUGAUUUGUUUAGUUCGUACAUAAAUAUUCAGAAAUAGUUCAAUGCGUAAUUCAUGAUUACAAUUUAUGCUAAUUAGGCUUUAGUUUGGUGCCACUUUGAUUCUUAGACUAAGUUUGGCUUGCCUAUGAUAUAACAAUAUCAUGUAGAGAUUUUGCUGAAUUUUAUGUGAAUAAUAUAGACAAAUGGAUAUCGGAUUUUUGGUGAAUAAUAUAAUAUAUACAAUCUGUUGACAUGUUUGGAAUUGUAAGAACAUUCAUCAUUUCUUAAGCACUGUUAAAAGAUCGCAGCAACAAAAUCUUCUCUUAAGCUAACAUGAUUUGCAUAAUAGAAUGUUUACUUUUGGGUUAAGGUACAAUUUUCCUACUGCUAGCCGAUUUUAGGUACAGAUUAUGAAUUUGAUUACCAAAUUUUGUUUUCUGGCUAUUAGCAACAACAUUUGUCAUCAUUAUUCAGUGUACAAAUUUUCAUGUGUUUUACAAAAAUCUCUGGCAGGAUGGAGAUCUGACAUCACUAAAGUUAUGAAAUUUCUAACAUUACCAAGCCAUAAACGAUGGUUGUAGUUUCCCUGUAUUUUAUGAGAUCACCAUGUACACCAGCCUCUUGUAAUUUGACAGAGACAAAAAAAAAA
rnacentral:lncRNA from 1 species